ensembl:misc_RNA Metazoa_SRP Metazoan signal recognition particle RNA
GCUGGGCACGGUGCCUGUAGUCCCAGCUACUCGGGAGGCUGAAGCUGGAGGAUCGCUUGAGUCCAGGAGUUCUAGGCUGCAGUGUGCUAUGCGGAUCGGGUGUCCACACUAAGUUCGGCUUCGUUAUGGUGACCUCCCAGGAGCGGGGGACCACCAGGUUGCCUAAGAAGGGGUGAAGCGGUCCAGGUCGGAAACAGAGCAGGUCAAAACUCCCGUGCUGGGCCGGGCGCGAUGGCUCACGCCUAUAAUCCCAGCACUUUGGGAGGCCGAGGCGGUGGAUCACGAGAUCAAGAGAUCGAGACCAUCCUGGUCAACAAGGUGAAACCCCGUCUCUA